rnacentral:rRNA from 1 species
UACGUAGGGGGCAAGCGUUGUCCGGAAUCAUUGGGCGUAAAGAGCGCGUAGGCGGCCCUGUAAGUCCGCUGUGAAAGUCAAGGGCUCAACCCUUGAAUGCCGGUGGAUACUGCAGGGCUAGAGUCCGGAAGAGGCGAGUGGAAUUCCUGGUGUAGCGGUGAAAUGCGCAGAUAUCAGGAGGAACACCGAUGGCGAAGGCAGCUCGCUGGGACGGUACUGACGCUAAGGCGCGAAAGCGUGGGGAGCGAACAGG